rnacentral:rRNA from 1 species
GAUGAACGCUGGCGGCGUGCCUAAUACAUGCAAGUCGAGCGAAUGGAUUAAGAGCUUGCUCUUAUGAAGUUAGCGGCGGACGGGUGAGUAACACGUGGGUAACCUGCCCAUAAGACUGGGAUAACUCCGGGAAACCGGGGCUAAUACCGGAUAACAUUUUGAACCGCAUGGUUCGAAAUUGAAAGGCGGCUUCGGCUGUCACUUAUGGAUGGACCCGCGUCGAAUUAGCUAGUUGGUGAGGUAACGGCUCACCAAGGCAACGAUGCGUCGCCGACCUGAGAGGGUGAUCGGCCACACUGGGACUGAGACACGGCCCAGACUCCUACGGGAGGCAGCAGUAGGGAAUCUUCCGCAAUGGACGAAAGUCUGACGGAGCAACGCCGUGUGAGUGAUGAAGGCUUUCGGGUCGUAAAACUCUGUUGUUAGGGAAGAACAAGUGCUAGUUGAAUAAGCUGGCACCUUGACGGUACCUAACCAGAAAGCCACGGCUAACUACGUGCCAGCCGCCGCGGUAA